CGAACGGAGCGCGUGAGAGCGAACAUUUCGGUGGGAGCAUUCGCGCGGCUUAGUGGCGGACGGGUGAGUAACGCGUGGACAAUCUGCCGCGCACAGGGGAAUAACAGCCGGAAACGGCUGCUAAUGCCGCAUAUGCGCGCAGCGUCGCAUGACGCAGCGCGGAAAGCAAUUUGCGGUGCGCGAUGAGUCCGCGUCCGAUUAGGCAGUUGGCGGGGUGACGGCCCACCAAACCGACGAUCGGUAGCCGGCCUGAGAGGGCGGACGGCCACACUGGGACUGAGACACGGCCCAGACUCCUGCGGGAGGCAGCAGUGGGGAAUAUUGCACAAUGGGGGAAACCCUGAUGCAGCGACGCCGCGUGAAGGAAGAAGUAUCUCGGUAUGUAAACUUCUAUCGGCAGGGAAGAAAACGGACGGUACCCUGACUAAGAAGCCCCGGCUAACUACUUGCCCAGCAGCCGCGGUAAUACGUGGGGGGCGAGCGUUAUCCGGAUUUACUGGGUGUAAAGGGAGCGUAGACGGCUGGGCAAGCCUGAUGUGAAAGGCGGGGGCGCAACCCUCGGACUGCAUCCCCCAACUGUCCGGCUGGAGCGCCGGAGGGGUACGCCCAAUUCCUGGUGUAGCGGUGAAAUGCGUAGAUCUCUGGGAGAACACCGGUGGCGAAGGCGGCUUACUGGACGGCGACUGACGUUGAUGCUCGAA
rnacentral:rRNA from 1 species